rnacentral:tRNA from 3 species
AGCGAUAUAGUGUAAAGGAUAAGCACAACAGCCUCAUGAUCUGUUAGAUUUGGUUCGAUUCCUGAUUUCGCUA